UACAGAGGUCUCAAGCGUUGUUCGGAUUCAUUGGGCGUAAAGCGUGCGCAGGCGGUGAGUUAAGUCUGAUGUGAAAGCCCCGGGCUCAACCUGGGAAUGGCAUUGGAAACUGGCUCGCUGGAGUGUGGCAGAGGGGGGUGGAAUUCCGCGUGUAGCAGUGAAAUGCGUAGAGAUGUGGAGGAACACCGAUGGCGAAGGCAGCCCCCUGGGCUAACACUGACGCUCAUGCACGAAAGCGUGGGGAGCAAACAGG
rnacentral:rRNA from 1 species